AUUGAACGCUGGCGGCAGGCCUAACACAUGCAAGUCGAACGGUAACAGGAAGAAGCUUGCUUCUUUGCUGACGAGUGGCGGACGGGUGAGUAAUGUCUGGGAAACUGCCUGAUGGAGGGGGAUAACUACUGGAAACGGUAGCUAAUACCGCAUAACGUCGCAAGACCAAAAAGGGGGACCUUCGGGCCUCUUGCCAUCGGAUGUGCCCAGGUGGGAUUAGCUAGUAGGUGGGGUAACGGCUCACCUAGGCGACGAUCCCUAGCUGGUCUGAGAGGAUGACCAGCCACACUGGAACUGAGACACGGUCCAGACUCCUACGGGAGGCAGCAGUGGGGAAUAUUGCACAAUGGGCGCAAGCCUGAUGCAGCCAUGCCGCGUGUAUGAAGAAGGCCUUCGGGUUGUAAAGUACUUUCAGCGGGGAGGAAGGGAGUAAAGUUAAUACCUUUGCUCAUUGACGUUACCCGCAGAAGAAGCACCGGCUAACUCCGUG
rnacentral:rRNA from 1 species